UGUUACGCGGAGAGCCCAACUGGUUUAAUAAAAACGUAGUGUCGCGCUGUGGUAGUAUAGCCAGUGAACGCGACAUGAAUCCUGCUCAGUGCUGUGUCUGUUAAUAUGGUUCAAGCCAACGAAGCACCGGUAAAUAGCUGGGGUAACUAUGACUCUUAUCAAAGUAGCGAAAUACCUCGUCACUUAAUUAGUGACCUGCAUGAACGGAGCUAUGAGGUUCUCACUGUCCCAAACUGUCUCUCAGCGAACCAACUGUAGUGGGAACGGUCACUAGAUAUCCAGCGGGGAAAGAAGACCCUGUAGAGCUUCACUUUGGUCUAGUCUUGUAUAGUUCCUGCGGGGGUGUAGACUAGGUGGGAGAGCAAUCGAUUCUGAAAAACCACUACCCUGUUUGGAAUUAUGCUUACCUAUCACAAGGAAUAGGACUAGAUAGAAAGUUUGGCUGGGGCGGCACACCUUCGAAAGAGCAGCGAAGGUGUCCUAAGUUGAGCUCAGUGAGGACAGAAAUCUCACGUUGAGGAUAAGGCCAAAAGCUCAAUUUACUGUGCCUUUUUGUACUAGGAUCAGUUACGAAAGUAAGGCCUAACGAUCCCUAAAUAGCCUCAGGUGCGUGAGGAUUGGGGUGACAGACAAGUUACCUCCGGGACAACUGGCUUGUGGCUGCUAAGAGAUCAAAUCAACGCAGCUUUUUGAUUCUUCGAUGUCGGCUCUUCCUAUCCUAGUGAUGUACAAGUUGCUAAGGGUCGGAUUGUUCACCCGUAUUAGGGAUCGUGAGCUGGGUUUAGACCGUCGUGAGCCAGGUUUGUUUUAUCCUACUGGAUAUAGCAUCAUGAUAGUAGAUUGAUUUAGUACGAGAGGAACUGUUGAUUAUGGCCUCUGGUUAGCGAUUAUCGGAAACGGUAUGUCGCGCAGCUACGCCGUCUGGGAUAAUGGCUGAAAGCCUCUUAAGCCAGAAGCCAUCUAGAAAGUGAUGCACGUGAUGUUGGACCGAUACGAAUAAUCA
rnacentral:ncRNA from 2 species